CCUACGGGAGGCAGCAGUAAGGAAUAUUGGUCAAUGGACGCAAGUCUGAACCAGCCAUGCCGCGUGAAGGAUUAAGGCCCUCUGGGUUGUAAACUUCUUUUAUAGGGGACGAAAAAAGGGCAUUCUUGCUCACUUGACGGUACCCUAGGAAUAAGCACCGGCUAACUCCGUGCCAGCAGCCGCGGUAAUACGGAGGGUGCAAGCGUUAUCCGGAUUUACUGGGUUUAAAGGGUGCGUAGGUGGGUUGGUAAGUCAGUGGUGAAAUCUUCGAGCUUAACUCGGAAACUGCCAUUGAUACUAUCAAUCUUGAAUCAUCUAGAGGUAAGCGGAAUAUGUCAUGUAGCGGUGAAAUGCUUAGAUAUGACAUAGAACACCAAUUGCGAAGGCAGCUUACUAUGGAUGUAUUGACACUGAGGCACGAAAGCGUGGGGAUCAAACAGGAUUAGAUACCCUGGUAGUCCACGCCCUAAACGACUGGAUACUCGACAUUUGUGAUAUACUAUAAGUGUCUGNGNGAAGAGAUAGUAUCCACCGUCGGAGUAACGUACCGCGAGUUAGUAAGUUAAAGUUAAAGUUAGACGGCGUUGAGACGUUGCGACGGACGACGACGAGGGAGGAGG
rnacentral:rRNA from 1 species